AUGGUGGCGGAGGGGGAGGAAAAGGAGAAGAUGGUGAUGUUGCGGAGCGAGGACGGCGUGGACUUCCUGCUGUCAGAGGCAGAGGCCGAGGCCCAUUGCGGCAGGAAAAUCAAAAUAAUGAUGAAGUACGACUCCGAGGACCACAUCAUCCCUUCCGACGACGGCGGCGGCGAAAUCAACUACUGCCUCAUCCGCCUCCCCGUCCGAGGCGACACACUCUCCAAGGUGAUAGACUACUCCAAGAUGCACGCCUCCGGAUCCCACGACUUGACCCACUGGGAUGCGGAGUUCAUCGCUGGUUUCAACCACGAGGCCCUCUUCCAUCUCAUCCUGGAGGAGUUGCCAUGCAGUGAGACCCCAUGUUCAAUGCAAGAGCUCGAAUUGGAGGAAAAAGCUUUGCAUGCUCUUGACAUAGUUCGAUGCCAAGAGUUUACGGGAUACGACCCUAAGGUCAACGCUUACACCCGUACCCGAUUCGACAUAUUCAACCUAGCCUUCUUUGACCUUGACAAAGAGUCUGAUUUUUGUCGUGGUCCGCGGCUUAACAUGAUACCUUCACCAAUACGUGACUCGAUCGUAGGAUCAUGUGUAAAUGUCAUUACCUUGAAGGUAAAGGAAUCGGAAGUUGGCUUCCCGAUAAAAGUUUUUGGUACCGUUGUAGCAAGAGACCAGGUCGACUAUAGAUGUGUUUAUCUCUUCAGGCGUGAAAGGGGUGAUCCCCAACUCAUCACCUCGGCGGACGGCAAGUUAACUUUGAUGGAUCCAUGCCGAGGGCUUGUCCCAGAGGACAGAAUAUAUUUUGAGAUGGAUUUAAAGAUAGUACGUGAUGGAGGUGAGGUUGAAGAUUUCAGCAAAGGUGUGAUCGUUUUCAACAGGGCCCGCCUCCCUAAUGAUAAGCAGACCAUGGGUGGACCGUGUAGUGUCUCAAGAGUUAUCGCCGCUACUACCAAGAAUUAUGAGUAUAGUAUGGAUCUUUACAACGGUGGUGAAGCAGCAGCAGAGCAGAGUCUAUCGUCGGGUUCCAGCACAAAUCGCCGCCCGGCAGUUCCAGCAUGGGCGCCUGCCGGCUUGCAACUUCUCCGCUCGUCCGUUCCAGCACGGCUGGUUGGUGAUCCCAGCACGGCCGCACGGCGAAGCUACGAGCGAUGGGACGCUCCUCCCGAUUGUACGACGAUGGAGCGCAAAGAUGCUGCUACAGAGCCUCUUCGUCGUCGACGACCGCGGCUCCGGAAGCAGCCGGAUGGCCGGCUCGUCAGCUCAUCCAUAGGCGACUGUGGUGCCCGCUGGAUGCGCUCGAUGGUGGAGCUCGCAGGAAGCCAGGAAGGCGCGGUCCUCGGUGGCUUCACCGGCGUCGGUGUGAGGAGAGCAAAUAGCGGCGGCGGCUAUGUGCCCGCGCUGGGAAGAAGGGAUUAG
rnacentral:rRNA from 1 species